GUGCUGGACAUCUAUAGUCAGGCGACAGGGCAACACGUGAACUAUGCAAAAUCAUCGAUCUACUUUAGCAAGGGUGUGCUAGAUAGUGUUCGACAUGAUAUCAAGAGCUUGCUUAAUGUGCCCAAUGAGACUCUAAAUGAGAAAUACCUUGGUAUGCCUUCAGAUGUUAGGAGCUCUAAGAAUGGGGCUUUUAAAUACCUGAAAGAUCGCCUUUGGAGCAAGGUACAAGGAUGGAUUGGGAUGACGUUAUCCACUGCGGGAAAGGAGGUGCUUGUUAAAUCAGUGGCCUAG
rnacentral:rRNA from 1 species